rnacentral:tRNA from 1 species
AGGUUUGUAGUAUAAUUUAAUAUAGGUGAUUGCAGAUCAUUUGAUUUUUGGCCUU